GACUUUAUAAUUUAUGAACAUUGGAUAACAGGGAUUCCUACCAAUAUAAUUAGUUCACCCAGGGUUGCCUCUUGUUCUUCUUUAUGCAACAGAGCAACGCCAAUCUCUAUGGCCUUGAGAUAUUUAGCUCCAAAUAUUAUGUUUUCAAGAGAGAAGACAAACAGAGCAGUUAUUAGAUCUUCCAUGAUCCAUAAGGUGCAACCAUCACCCAAAGCAGCAACACCUUCGACCAGAUCUUUCAUUCAAAACAAGAUGGUUUUUGAGGACAUGGGAAUAAUUUGUUACAAAGAUGAAAAAGGAGAAAUGGUUUGCGAAGGAUAUGAUGAAGGACCGAGAUACAGUAGGCAAGAGUUGGAGUUGGAGGAAGAAGAAAAACAUGAGAAGUACAUCCAACUUAAAAGAUUAAUUCACCCCAUGAAACUAAGUAAAAGAGAUAAUUUAGACUGUCGACGUUAAUUGGCAAUCCUAUUUGAUCCUCAACAGGAAACGGCAGGUUGUUGUUCCAUGUUUCCUUCAAUCGAGCUAGUAGAAGUUGCUUUACUUGUGCCAGGCAUUUCACAUGAAAAAAUUCAUGGCUUGAAUCUGAUGAUAAAUUAAUUUUUUUUUAUGUAGUUAAGUAGCUUCUUGUAGCUCGAUGUUGAGCGAGAUUUCAUGAACUAGGUGAUCAUGUGA